rnacentral:tRNA from 1 species
CCUUCGAUAGCUCAGUUGGUAGAGCGGUGGACUGUAGAAAUGCAUUGUUGGUAGAAAUCCAUAGGUCGCUGGUUCAAAUCCUGCUCGAAGGA